CUAUGUCUAGAUGCAUAAUAAAAGUUAUGAAUUUAGAAAAACCAAAACGACCUAUAUAAUUUGGGACAGAGGGAGUAGUUGCUAUGAGAGAUACUAUAUUUGUGACUAGAGGGAGCAAUAAUAGUGAAAGCAAAUGGCUCUCACAUGCUCAUGUAACUUAAAGUAUUGUUAUAUAUCAAUCUAAGACUAGUAUGAUUGCAACCUUUCCCUUUUGGCCUUCAACAUUUUUGGCAUGAAUGCGCCAUGUUGCAGGUUUCUUUUUAGGUGCUAUAAAUUAAUAUCAGUCAUCCUCUAUUCCCC
rnacentral:lncRNA from 1 species